AUUGAACGCUGGCGGCAGGCCUAACACAUGCAAGUCGAACGAGUGGCGGACGGGUGAGUAAUGUCUGGGCAACUGCCCGAUGGAGGGGGAUAACUACUGGAAACGGUAGCUAAUACCGCAUACCCUCGGAUGUGCCCAGAUGGGAUUAGCUAGUUGGUGAGGUAACGGCUCACCACGGCCACGAUGCCUAGCCGACCUGAGAGGGUGAUCGGCCACACGGGAACUGGGAAACGGUCCAGACUCCUACGGGAGGCAGCAGUGGGGAAUAUUGCACAAUGGGCGCAAGCCUGAGGCAGCCAUGCCGCGUGUAUGAAGAAGGCCUUCGGGUUGUAAAGUACUUUCAGCGAGGAGGCGUUACUCGCAGAAGAAGCAACGGCUAACUCCGUGCCAGCAGCCGCGGUAAUUC
rnacentral:rRNA from 1 species